rnacentral:misc_RNA from 1 species
GAUGAAGAACGUAGCGAAAUGCGAUAAGUAAUGUGAAUUGCAGAAUUCAGUGAAUCAUCGAAUCUUUGAACGCACAUUGCGCCCGCCAGUAUUCUGGCGGGCAUGCCUGUUCGAGCGUCAUUUCAACCCUCAAGCCCAGCUUGGUGUUGGGGAUCGGCACAGGCGCCCUCGGGCGCCCGCCGUCCCCUAAAUCUAGUGGCGGUCCCGCUGCAGCCUCCUCUGCGUAGUAGUUUUCUCCUCGCAAGGGCAGCUCGGUGGCGACCUCGCCGUAAAACCCCCAACUCCUGAAAGGUUGACCUCGAAUCAGGUAGGAAUACCCGCUGAACUUAAGCAUAUCAAUAAGCGGAGGA